UACAGAGGGGGCAAGCGUUGUUCGGAAUUACUGGGCGUAAAGGGCGCGUAGGCGGCCUGCUAAGUCGAACGUGAAAGCCCGGAGCUCAACUCCGGAACUGCCUUUAAGACUGCAUCGCUUGAAUCCAGGAGAGGUGAGUGGAAUUCCGAGUGUAGAGGUGAAAUUCGUAGAUAUUCGGAAGAACACCAGUGGCGAAGGCGGCUCACUGGCCCGAUACUGACGCUGAGGCACGAAAGCGUGGGGAGCAAACAGG
rnacentral:rRNA from 1 species